rfam:Acetohalobium arabaticum DSM 5501, complete genome.
UAGGGCUGCGAAACAGCAUUGAGUCCUGCCGGAUGUAUUGCUGCAGACCAUGACGGCGGGAUGAAAGAAUCUGAUAGCCAUGAGGUAUCCCAGUUAAAUG